rnacentral:tRNA from 1 species
UGCGGAGUAGCGAAGCGGUAUCGCGCCACCCUGAUAAGGUGGAGGUCGCCAGUUCGACCCUGGCCUCCGCAACAA